UAGCCGAGGUAAAAGGGCAUAGCGUGGAUGCCUUGGCAGGAGAUGCCGAUGAAGGACGUGGCGUGGCUGCGAUAAGCUUCGGGGAGGUGCUGAGCAACCUAUGAUCCGGAGAUUUCCGAAUGGGGAAACCCGCCGAUGACGAAUCAUCGGUACGCCGAUGCUUCGCAUCGGGAAUUUCAAGAUACAAGAUACAAGAAACAAACAAUAUUCAAUAACCAAUUUCCAACCGUUUGGAUUUUGGAAUUUGUUUGCACCUUGUUUCUUGGUGAUUGGAGCUUCCGCUGCGGAGCAGCGGUGUGGGAACCUGGUGAAGUAAAACAUUUCAGUAACCAGAGGAAAAGAAAAUAAGCCAUCACAGUUUUCUGCUUUCAGUUUUCGGCCGUCAGGUUUUCCUGAUAGCUGAUUACUGAUAGCUGAUUGCUGUGAUAGCCAUUCCCGUAGUAGCGGCGAGCGAACCGGGAAGAGCUCAAACCUCGCUUACCGUAGAUUUAUUUCUAAGGAAGGCGGGGGGUUGUAAGAGAAAAACGUCUAGGAGCAAUCUUGGAGGGAGUAAAGAAGUUGAGAGUUGGUUAGCCAAAUACCCUGGAAUAGGGUGACCAUAGAGGGCGAUCGUCCCGUAGGCGAAAAUCCUCUCAUACUCCUUGUUUUUUAUCUUGAGUACCCCGACAUACGUAGACGUCGGGGGAAACAAGCAGGCCUAGCCUGCUAAAGCUAAAUACAUCUCCUGACCGAUAGUGAACAAGUACCGUGAGGGAAAGGUGAAAAGUAGGCCGGUGAGGCCGGUGAAAUAGAACCUGAAACGCUAUGCUUACAAAGAGACAACGCCGAUGCUUCGCAUCGGGAAUGUCAAAUGUCCAAGCUCAAAUGUCAAAUAGAUGCCGAAUAACUCAAGGUCCAAACGCAUUUUGGAUUUUGGGUAUUGGGAUUUUAAAUUUUGUUUGACAUUUUGAUUUUGGAAUUGGGAUUUCCGACGCGAAGCGUCGGUUAUGUCGUGCUUUUUGCAGAACGAUCCAGCGAGUUCAACCGUACCGCUUUGGCAAACUACAUUAUAUGUAGAGAGCCGUAGGGAAACCAAGUCCGAACAGGGCGAAUGCCACUUCUCACUUCGUUCGAAGUGGAAUAUCAAAUCACAAGAUCAAAAAUGUCAUUUUGACAUUUAGGUUUUGGAUUUAGAAUUUCCACCCGAGCGGAGCGAGCGGUGGUACGGUGGUACGGCAGAGACCCGAAGCCAGGUGAGCUACCCAUGACCAGGGUGAACCCCGUGUGAAAGCGGGGGGAAGCCCGAACCCGUUAGCCGUGCAAUACUAUGGGAUGAGUUGUGGGUAGGAGUGAAAAGCUAAUCGAACCUGGGAAUAGCUGGUUCUCCCCGAAAAGAGUUUUGGCUCUGCGCGCAUCGAAUCUAUCCGGAGGUAGAGCACUGGAUGAUUAUCAUUGGGGCAACCCAGGAUCAUCAAUCAAACUCCGAAUGCCGGAAAGAACUAAUGCGCAGUAAGACCGUGGGGGCUAAGCUCCAUGGUCGAGAGGGAAACAGCCCAGAUCGCCGUCUAAGGCCCCAAAAUCUACGCUCAGUGCAACAAAGGAGGUACCGCUUCAGAGACACCGAGGAGGUUGGCUUAGAAGCAGCCACCCUUUAAAGAAAGCGUAACAGCUCACUCGCUCAGAGGUGGUGCGCCGAAAAUGUCCGGGGCUUAAGCGUAGUGCCGAAGACGCGAAUCACCGUGCCUCACUUUUGUUCGGCACGGAAAUGUCAAAUGUCCAAGCUCAAAUGACAAAUAAAUACCAAACGACUCAAUGCCCAAACGCGUUUUGGAUUUUGGAUGCUAGAAUUUUAUAUUUUAUUUGACAUUUGGAUUUUGGAAUUGGGAUUUCCGCGGCGAGCAGCAGCGAGGCGCGGUGGUGGUAGGGGAGCAUCUCUUGUGCUUUGAAGCCCUUCCGUAAGGAAGUGUGGAGCGCAAGGGAGAGAGAAUGCUGGAAUGAGUAACCGCAAGCCCGGUGCAAUCCCGGGCCGCCGAAAACCCAAGGUUUCCGUGGCAAUGGUAAUCAGCCACGGGUGAGUCGGGACCUAAGGGAAAGCCGAAAGGCGUACCUGAUGGACAGCAGGUUAAUAUUCCUGCACCUCGAUUCAUUUCGAAGGAGUGACGGAUUCUAGUAGUCAAAGCGUGUUAUUGGAUUCACGUCCGGGGCAUAAGGAAGCUUUCGAGGCAAAUCCCGAAAGCACAAUUCCAAGUGCAGCGGAAAUUUCGACUUUCGAGUCGGAAAAUUUUGGCGAGCAGGAUUCCCAGAAAAACUUCUAAGGUUCAAUGAAUCGAGCCCGUACCGGAAACCGACACAGGUGGGUGCGUGGAGAACACGAAGGCGAACGGGUGAUUCCUCGUUAAGGAACUCGGCAAAACAGCGGCCGUAAGUUCGCAAUAAGGCCUGCCAGUGCUUCGCACUGGAAAUUUCAAGAUAUAAGAUGCAAGAAACAAACAAUAUUCAAUAACCAAUUUCCAACCGUUUGGAUUUUGGAAUUUGUUUGCACCUUGUUUCUUGGUUAUUGGAGCUUCUAGUGCGGAGCGCUGGCUGCAACAAAAGACCCCUGGCGACUGUUUAUCAAAAACACAGGUCCCUGCGAAGUGGUAACACCACGUAUAGGGGCUGACGCCUGUCCAGUGCUGGAACCUUAACUUUGCCGGUCGCUGCGCGACUCGGCACGCGGACCAACGCAGACCGAACGCAGACUAACGCAGAAACAUUUCCGCGUAAGUCCGCGUAAAGUCAGCGACUGUCAGCGUGCGAAGCCGCGUAGCGGCUGAGCGAACGAAGGGCCAGUGAACGACCGCGGUAACUAUAACCGUGUUAAAGUAGCGAAAUUCCUUGACGGGUAAGUUCCGUCCCGCACGAAAGGCGUAACGACUGGGGGACUGUCUCAACG
rfam:Candidatus Terrybacteria bacterium RIFCSPHIGHO2_01_FTLL_48_17 rifcsphigho2_01_scaffold_752, whole genome shotgun sequence.